CCUACGGGUGGCAGCAGUGAGGAAUAUUGGUCAAUGGACGAGAGUCUGAACCAGCCAAGUAGCGUGAAGGAUGACUGCCCUAUGGGUUGUAAACUUCUUUUAUAUGGGAAUAAAAUGUUCCACGUGUGGGAUUUUGUAUGUACCAUAUGAAUAAGGACCGGCUAACUCCGUGCCAGCAGCCGCGGUAAUACGGAGGAUCCGAGCGUUAUCCGGAUUUAUUGGGUUUAAAUGGAGCGUAGGUGGAUUGUUAAGUCAGUUGUGAAAGUUUGCGGCUCAACCGUAAAAUUGCAGUUGAAACUGGCAGUCUUGAGUACAGUAGAGGUGGGCGGAAUUCGUGGUGUAGCGGUGAAAUGCUUAGAUAUCACGAAGAACUCCGAUUGCGAAGGCAGUUCACUGGACUGCAACUGACACUGAGGCUCGAAAGUGUGGGUAUCAAACAGGAUUAGAUACCCCAGUAGUC
rnacentral:rRNA from 1 species